rnacentral:rRNA from 1 species
CCUACGGGAGGCAGCAGUGGGGAAUCUUAGACAAUGGGGGCAACCCUGAUCUAGCCAUGCCGCGUGAGUGAUGAAGGCCUUAGGGUUGUAAAGCUCUUUCAGCUGGGAAGAUAAUGACGGUACCAGCAGAAGAAGCCCCGGCUAACUCCGUGCCAGCAGCCGCGGUAAUACGGAGGGGGCUAGCGUUGUUCGGAAUUACUGGGCGUAAAGCGCACGUAGGCGGACUGGAAAGUCAGAGGUGAAAUCCCAGGGCUCAACCUUGGAACUGCCUUUGAAACUAUCAGUCUGGAGUUCGAGAGAGGUGAGUGGAAUUCCGAGUGUAGAGGUGAAAUUCGUAGAUAUUCGGAGGAACACCAGUGGCGAGGGCGGCUCACUGGCUCGAUACUGACGCUGAGGUGCGAAAGCGUGGGGAGCAAACAGGAUUAGAUACCCUAGUAGUC